UACGUAGGUGGCAAGCGUUACUCGGAAUCACUAGGCGUAAAGCGCAGGUAGGCGGUUCGGUAAGUCUUUUGUGAAAGCUCCCGGCUCAACUGGGAGAGGUCAAGGGAAACUACCGGGCUAGAGUGUGGCAGAGGAAGCUGGAAUUCCCGGUGUAGCGGUGAAAUGCGUAGAGAUCGGGAGGAAUACCUAUGGCGAAGGCAGCUCGCUGGGACGGUACUGACGCUAAGGCGCGAAAGCGUGGGGAGCGAACAGG
rnacentral:rRNA from 1 species